rnacentral:rRNA from 1 species
AUUGAACGCUGGCGGCAGGCUUAACACAUGCAAGUCGAGCGGGGAGAGGUGCUUCGGUACUGAUCCUAGCGGCGGACGGGUGAGUAAUGCUUAGGAAUCUGCCAUUUAGUGGGGGACAACAUUCCGAAAGGAAUGCUAAUACCGCAUACGUCCUACGGGAGAAAGCAGGGGAUCUUCGGACCUUGCGCCAAAUGAUGAGCCUAAGUCGGAUUAGCUAGUUGGUGGGGUAAAGGCCUACCAAGGCGACGAUCUGUAGCGGGUCCGAGAGGAUGAUCCGCCACACUGGGACUGAGACACGGCCCAGACUCCUACGGGAGGCAGCAGUGGGGAAUACUGGACAAUGGGCGGAAGCCUGAUCCAGCCAUGCCGCGUGUGUGAAGAAGGCCUUUUGGUUGUAAAGCACUUUAAGCGAGGAGGAGGCUACCUGGAUUAAUACUCUAGGAUAGUGGACGUUACUCGCAGAAUAAGCACCAGCUAACUCUGUGCCAGCCGCCGCGGUAAAAC